UUUGAUGAGAGUUUGAUCCUGGCUCAGGAUGAACGCUGGCGGCGUGCCUAAUACAUGCAAGUAGAACGCUGAAGGAAGUGCUUGCACUUCUGGAAGAGUUGCGAACGGGUGAGUAACGCGUAGGUAACCUGCCUGGCAGCGGGGGAUAACUAUUGGAAACGAUAGCUAAUACCGCAUAACAAUGGAUAUUGCAUGAUAUCUAUUUGAAAGAUGCAACUGCAUCACUACCAGAUGGACCUGCGUUGUAUUAGCUAGUAGGUGAGGUAAAGGCUCACCUAGGCGACGAUACAUAGCCGACCUGAGAGGGUGAACGGCCACACUGGGACUGAGACACGGCCCAGACU
rnacentral:rRNA from 1 species